rnacentral:rRNA from 1 species
UUGAAAGGGAAACGAUUGAAGUCAGUCAUGCCGACGGGAAUCAACUUAGGGGAAACUCUAGGUGCACUUCUUCGCUUGGCAGGUCAACGUCGAUUUUGAAUGUCAUAAAAUAAUUGGGGGAAGGUAGCUCCUUCGGGAGUGUUAUAGCCCUUGAUAGAUGUGAUGUUUGGGGUCGAGGAUUGCAACGGAUACCCUCUGGGGCUAGCCGCCUGAUCUCUAAUCGGUGUUGGGUUACGGAUAGCAUGCUGACCGUUUUCUAAUUACUGGUUAAAAGGUUAGAGCGUGCAUAAAUUCGUUAAGGAUGUUGACGUA